rnacentral:tRNA from 1 species
UGAGUUGAUACUUUAAAAAAAAGAUUAGAUUUGCAUUCUAGAAUUGGCGUAGAUGUCUUAACUUAU